AGGCAGAAUGCAUUAGCGCUGCGCGUCGUCAACGGGAUUAAAUGUCAUUGAUGAAAAUCCUCGUUUAAUCGCUUGAGAACUACUCUCGUUUAGCCAAUUCAAUGAAAGCCACAAACUUUCCGUCGCACUUAACGCGCUUUUUAUUUUUUGGAACAGGCGGAUAAGGUCAGAUGUCUUUUUUUUUAAAGUUUUGAAUCUUCUUCAUCGUGCCAUGCAACUUGAGGGGCAAAAGUCAACCGUCAGAUCUAAGCAGCUUUGGGCCGUUGGAUAUAUAGAACUGUGUCGCUGAUUUGUCCGUUCAGGUCGCUUACCUACACAACCUGUCUGUCUGCUGAAACAACCUCACCUCUAUUAAGCACUCAGGCACAAGCUGGUCUAAACCGCCGGGGUCCAGGAAAAACGUUUAAACUAUGAUAUAAUUAGUCUGGGUGCUUCUACAUAUUUGAAGGAGACACUAACUGCAUUGCUUGAAUUUCAGAGUCAUUUUCUUGGGAAAUCGGAAAGCGCAUUCAGAAAACAUUUGUCUCUACGACUCUCCGCGGGUCUGGUGCUGAUCUCCUGCAACAACAAAAACAUCAGUCCUGGAUGGGUCUCACUCAAGAAGAGGAAACGUAGCGAUUUUUAGCACAGACCAGACACCGGACCACGCGUGCUGCAGGACGACCGGGAAUAAUGCAUAGAUGAAACCCCAUUCCAGUAACGCCGUUCUCGCACGGAAAAGGCGUCGCAGAGGGAAUUUGUCUCCAGGCGACAAUGUCAGACAACUUCACCGAUUUCGAAUUCAACAACACGACGCCGCCGGUGGCUGCUGCCGUGGCUCCAGACUACAACUUUCCAGCUCUUAUAUUCGGGAUAUUGCUAAUCAUUGUGAUUAUCGGUGGAAAUGUGCUUGUGUGUCUUAGUGUUUACAUGGAAAAAGCUUUAAAAACUACAACAAACUAUUUCAUUGUGAGUUUGGCUGUUGCGGACCUACUCUUGGCAGUGCUGGUGCUGCCACUGUUCGUGUUCGCAGAGUUCCAGGGUGGUGUGUGGUCCCUGGACAUGAUGCUGUGUGUUGUGUUCAGUUCCAGGGUGGUGUGUGGUCCCUGAACAUGAUGCUGUGUGUUGUGUUCAGUUCCAGGGUGGUGUGUGGUCCCUGGACAUGAUGCUGUGUGACGGUCUGAUGUCCAUGGAUGUGAUGCUGUGCACAGCCUCCAUCUUCAACCUCUGUGCCAUCAGCGUCGACAGGCUUCCUAGCUGUGUAAUUAUCAACAGUCCCAACUAUCCACAUCGUGUCCAGGACUAACGAUAUCUGAAGCGUU